rnacentral:rRNA from 1 species
GACGAACGCUGGCGGCGUGCUUAACACAUGCAAGUCGAACGGAAAGGCCCUGCUUUUGUGGGGUGCUCGAGUGGCGAACGGGUGAGUAACACGUGAGUAACCUGCCCUUGACUUUGGGAUAACUUCAGGAAACUGGGGCUAAUACCGGAUAGGAGCUCCUGCUGCAUGGUGGGGGUUGGAAAGUUUCGGCGGUUGGGGAUGGACUCGCGGCUUAUCAGCUUGUUGGUGGGGUAGUGGCUUACCAAGGCUUUGACGGGUAGCCGGCCUGAGAGGGUGACCGGCCACAUUGGGACUGAGAUACGGCCCAGACUCCUACGGGAGGCAGCAGUGGGGGAUAUUGCGCAGUGGGCGGAAGCCUGAUGCAGCAACGCCGCGUGCGUGAUGACGGCCUUCGGGUUGUAAACCGCUUUCGCCUGUGACGAAGCGUGAGUGACGGUAAUGGGUAAAGAAGCACCGGCUAACUACGUG